rnacentral:sRNA from 1 species
GAAUGUUAGGAUGAUCAGGCUAUAACACCUGUCUCCCUGUUGAUUGCCCAGGUUGAUUUGGCUAGCUAGGUGAGUGCCCCCUUCCUUUCUCACCACUUGCCUCUCAAAGUUACAUGCUUGGUGGAAGAGGACAACCACCCCAGAUAGAAGGAGAGUGCUGUUCUUCAGUCAAGGGCAACAUACCCUCUAAUUUCUCUCUCAUGUGACUUCACCCCUAUGUGUGUGUGCAACUC